AUCAUGUUGACACACCAGUUCCUGUAUGAUCACUGAAGUUAAGCAACAUUGACCCCGGCCAGUACCUAGAAGGUGACCACUUUGGAAUACCAGGUGUU